GACGAACGCUGGCGGCGUGCUUAACACAUGCAAGUCGAACGAGUGGCGGACGGGUGAGUAAUGUCUGGGAAACUGCCCGAUGGAGGGGGAUAACUACUGGAAACGGUAGCUAAUACCGCAUACCAUCGGAUGUGCCCCGAUGGGAUUGGCUAGUAGGUGGGGUAACGGCUCACCUAGGCGACGAUCCCUAGCUGGUCUGAGAGGAUGACCAGCCACACGGGAACUGAGACACGGGCCAGACUCAUACGGGGGGCAGAAGUGGGGAAUAUUGCACAAUGGGCGCAAGCCGGAUGCAGCCAUGCCGCGUGUAUGAAGAAGGCCUUCGGGUUGUAAAGUACUUUCAGCGAGGAGGCGUUACUCGCAGAAGAAGCACCGGCUAACUCCGUGCCAGCAGCCGCGGUAAUUC
rnacentral:rRNA from 1 species